UCAAACUUGGUCAUUUAGAGGAAGUAAAAGUCGUAACAAGGUCUCCGUAGGUGAACCUGCGGAGGGAUCAUUAUCGAGUGGCUGCCUCACGGCACUACCCCUUGAAACCGUGGAACGGAAGCAUGCUUUGGCGUCGUCGACGCCAGAUUUAUGCCGAAAGUGAGUUUGGCUCUGAACGAGACAUGAAAUCAAAACUUUCAACAAAGGAUCUCUUGGCUCUUGCAUCGAUGAAGAACGCAGC
rnacentral:misc_RNA from 1 species